rnacentral:rRNA from 1 species
UACGUAGGGGCCGAGCGUUGUCCGGAGUUAUUGGGCGUAAAGCGCGCGCAGGCGGCUUCGCGCGUCCGACGUGAAAGCCCCCGGCUCAACCGGGGAGGGUCGUUGGGUACGGCGGAGCUUGAGGGCGGUAGAGGUUGGUGGAAUUCCCGGUGUAGUGGUGAAAUGCGUAGAUAUUGGGAGGAACACCAGUGGCGAAGGCGGCUCGCUGGACCGGAACUGACGCUGAGGCGCGAAAGCGUGGGGAGCAAACAGG